rnacentral:rRNA from 1 species
UACGUAGGGGGCAAGCGUUGUCCGGAAUCAUUGGGCGUAAAGAGCGUGUAGGCGGCUCGGUAAGUCCGCUCUGAAAGCCCGGGGCUCAACCCCGGGAGGCGGGCGGAUACUGUCGGGCUAGAGUCCGGAAGAGGCGAGUGGAAUUCCUGGUGUAGCGGUGAAAUGCGCAGAUAUCAGGAGGAACACCAAUGGCGAAGGCAGCUCGCUGGGACGGUACUGACGCUAAGGCGCGAAAGCGUGGGGAGCGAACAGG